rnacentral:rRNA from 1 species
GACGAACGCUGGCGGCGUGCUUAACACAUGCAAGUCGAACGAUGAAGCAAAGACUCGAAGCUUCGGCAGAAAUUCAUUUCGGAUUAGUGGCCGACGGGUGAGUAACGCGUGAGCAACCUACCUCUUACAAAGGGAUAGCCUCGGGAAACCGGGAUUACUACCAUAUAACAUUGUGACGAAGCAUUUCGAUGCAAUCAAAGCUACGGCGGUAAGAGAUGGGCUCGCGUCCCAUUAACCGGAUGGUGAGGUAACGGCUCACCAUAGUGACGAUGGGUAACCGGCCGGAGAGGGUGAAAGGUCACACUGGAACUGAGACACGGUCCAGACUCCUACGGGAGGCAGCAGUAGGGAAUACUGCACAAUGGAGGGAACUGUGAUGCAGCGACGCCGCGUGAGUGAUGAAGGAAUUCGUUUCGUAAAACUCUGUUCUAUGGGAAGAAAAGGACUGUACCAGAGGAGAAAGCUCCGGCUAAAUACGUG